AAACCUGAAAAGUGAAACCAAAGUUUUUGUCCUGUCAGGCUCUGGUAAGAUUAUCUGUGUGUCUGUAUCUGUAGUGUGCCAUCCUCUUUUUCAGCCACAAGGGACAGCACUUGGUGCAGACACCUGUGUGUGCAAAUCUCAAAAGGAAAUGCCAGCUUCAAAUGCAGCCCCAAUUCUUCACAAUGUGCCAUUACUGGUGACCUGUUGGUACAGUUUCUUCCAUUCCAGAAAGUUGUCUGCAGUAACGUCAUGUAUGAUGCUGCAUCCACUUCUCAUAUCCUAACACAACUGCCAUGUGUUUUGCCUUUUGCACUAGCAGAACAUUUUGGGGUUUUCCUCCCUCUUCAAUUUGAAAGUCUGUGAUGAUUUCUGAUAGCUUAAUGAUGAUGUUGUUGGAAAUGUGAUUCUAGCUUUAAAGCUCCCUUUCCUUGUACAUGGUUGUGUUUGCUUUCCUGAUGGAGUGUUUCUGGGUGACGCGUAGAGAACAGUUUCUGCUGUGGAUGUGAGUGCGUGCGUGUGUGAGUACCUUUAAUAGCCUCCUUUGUAGAUAAAAACUUUUUAGUGACCAUCUCUGAGUGGCAGAAUGUUUCCCAAAACAUUUCAUAUUCGGAGUUGAAGUGAUUCAGAAAUUGCUUAGAUGUGUUUAGCACAUACUGCCUUGGCACAUAAAAAGGGAAAAAUAUAAUGGACUGUGUAAGUUCCAGGAGCAGCACCUCCUCAUUAACAUUUGAGGGUUCAAGUGAAGUUCAUCUGUUUCCCCUAUUUCCUUCAAUAUAAAGAAAGAAAAUCUUGAUGCAAAAAAAAAAAUUUUUAAAACUUUUAGAAAGUUAUUUUUUCUCUCAGCCUCAUUAGUUUAUUUCAAGGGUAUUCAGCAUGCUCCCAGCAGUUACUCUGUUGGUUUAUUCCAAUCCCAUGUGUGCUUAGGUGGGAUCAGAUGAACUGCUGACUUACGUGCGUGUUGCAGGAAAGCACUGUCUGUCAGCUUUGAAAAUAUGCAUUUUUAAAAUUAAAAAAAGAAAAGGCAUUAUAACAAAAGAAGCCAAGCUACAAAGGGUUCAAGACUGAGUAGUUUUGCCAGUUUUUAAAUGAAUUCUGGAAGUGGCUAAAGAGUUACCCUGUGUGUCUGUGUUGUGUAUGCCAGGUGGUAUAGUCGUAGGCAAUUGACUUAGCUGUAAGUGUGUUUUAAAAGUGUAAAAAAAAAAAACAGAAAAACUCACUUGCACGGGUUGAAAAGUACAGAAAUGACACUUGUGAACGUAACACUGUAGUUUAUAGAUCUUAAGCUGCUAAUUGUUGAGAGAGAUUUACAUUUGUCUUGUCUGAUUGUCGCAGAUUUAUCUGUGGCAAUUUUACUGUAUAUAAAAAACUUUAAAUAAAGACCUCAGCUAUUAACA
rnacentral:lncRNA from 1 species